rnacentral:tRNA from 1 species
GCCUGGGUGGCUCAGUCAGUGGAGCAUCCAACUUUGGCUCGGGUCAUGAUCUCACAGUUUGUGGGUUCGAGCCCCACGUUGGGCA